rnacentral:tRNA from 1 species
GUGUUUUUAGUAUAUGGUGAGUACACCUACCUUCCAAGUAGGAAGAUUAGAAAUUAAAAAACAUA